GGAAUUUUGCGCAAUGGGGGAAACCCUGACGCAGCAACGCCGCGUGAUUGAAGAAGCCCUUCGGGGUGUAAAGAUCUGUCAGUGGGGACGAAAGAUGACGGUACCCACAGAGGAAGCAUCGGCUAACUCCGUGCCAGCAGCCGCGGUAAUACGGGGGACGCAAGCGUUGUCCGGAAUCAUUGGGCGUAAAGAGUUCGUAGGUGGUUUGUUAAGUUAGGUGUUAAAUGCAGGGGCUCAACUUCUGUUCGGCACUUGAUACUGGCAGACUUGAAUGCGGUAGAGGUAAAGGGAAUUCCUGGUGUAGCGGUGAAAUGCGUAGAUAUCAGGAGGAACAUCGGAGGCGAAAGCGCUUUACUGGGCCGUAAUUGACACUGAGGAACGAAAGCCAGGGUAGCAAAUG
rnacentral:rRNA from 1 species